AGGGUCGGGUCAGUGCUCCCCUGU
rnacentral:piRNA from 1 species